rnacentral:lncRNA from 1 species
CUUCAUACGUCAUGAAACUGGCACUUGAAUGGCAACAUAGUGGGCACACAGUAAAGAUGUCAUUGGAAUGGGGAUGUUGCCGCAGAUAUUUCCCUUUGACAAGAUGGUGAGCCUGUGAUGGACGCUCAUGCUGACACAACCAUGAUGGAGAUGCUGAAGAGAUAUACAAAUAUGUUCAUUCAGGUCAAUAUUUCUUGGUAGUGAGGUUCUACCUCCAACAGCCAGAGCACCACCCCUCUGCAAAGAGAGAUGGGAGCUCCGC